rnacentral:rRNA from 1 species
CCUACGGGAGUCAGCAGUGGGGCAUUUUGCGCAAUGCUCGUAAGAGUGACGCAGCGACGCCGCGUGAAUGACGAAGGCCUUCGGGUCGUAAAGUUCUUUCGACAGGGAAGAAAAUGCCUAUAAGUAACUGUGUAUGUAUUGACGGUACCUGUAUAAGCAGCCCCGGCUAACUCCGUGCCAGCAGCCGCGGUAAUACGGAGGGGGCGAGCGUUGUUCGGAGUGACUGGGCGUAAAGAGCACGUAGGCGGUGUUGUAAGUCAUUAGUCAAAGACUAGAGCUCAACUUUAGUAAGGCUAGUGAUACUAUAAUACGAGAGUAUCAGAGAGGAUUGCAGAAUUCCUGGUGUAGCGGUGAAAUGCGUAGAUAUCAGGAGGAAUACCGUUAGCGAAGGCGGCAAUCUGGCUGGAAACUGACGCUGAGGUGCGAAAGCGUGGGUAGCAAACAGGAUUAGAUACCCUAGUAGUC